CGCACCCGGACCCCGCUGGGCUGCCCGUCCCGGGCUUGAGGGGCCGCGGGGGAGGGGCCACCCCUCGGGGGCAGCGGUGGUCUCCUCCUCCUGUCGUGGCCCGCGCCGGCCCCGGGGAGGGUUUGGGAUGGCCGGCCGGAGGGGGGUCUGAGCCCGGGGGGGUCUCCUUCCGGCUGCGCUGCCCCCUUCUCUCUCUUCACCCCCCCUUCCUCUUCCAGAGUCCGUCUCUCGUCCCCUCCGUCACGGUCCUGCGCUUCCUGGGGUGGUCUACCUCCCUCUCCGUCACGGUCCUGUGCUUCUUGGGGUUGUUUCUGGGACGGUCUCUUGUCCCCUCUGUCACGGUCCUGUGGUUCUUGGGGUCUUCUCUGGGACGGUCUCUUCUCCCUCUCGUCACGGUCCUGUGCUUCCUGGGGUUGCCUCUGGGACGGUCUCUUGUCCCCUCCGUCACGGUCCUGUGCUUCCUGGGGUUGCCUCUGGGACGGUCCCUUGUCCCCUCCGUCACGGUCCUGUGGUUCUUGGGGUCUUCUCUGGGACGGUCUCUUGUCCCCUCCGUCACGGUCCUGUGGUUCUUGGGGUCGUCUCUGGGACGGUCUCUUGUCCCCUCCGUCACGGUCCUGUGCUUCCUGGGGUCGUCUCUGGGACGGUCUCUCGUCCUCUCCGUCACGGUCCUGUGUUUUCUGGGGUGGUCUACCUCCCUCUCGGUCCUGUGGUUCUUGGGGUCGCCUCUGGGACGGUCCCUUGUCCCCUCCGUCACGGUCCUGUGCUCCCUGGGGUGGUGAAACUGUCGCUCCGGCACCAGGAGCAGGUGUCGG
rnacentral:lncRNA from 1 species